AGAGAGAGACAUGCGCGCAUAUCAAUAAGCGGAGGAAAAGAAACUAACAAGGAUUCCCUUAGUAACGGCGAGUGAAGCGGGAAGAGCUCAAAUUUGAAAUCUUCAAGGUUUUACCUUGACGAAUUGUAGUUUAAAGAAGUGUUUUCUGCUGAAGUUUUGGUAAAAGUUCUUUGGAAUAGGACAUCAUAGAGGGUGAGAAUCCCGUAUUUGACCAUUAUUUUCAGCUUUGUGAUACACUUUCAAAGAGUCGGAUUGUUUGGGAAUGCAGUCCCAAAUGGGUGGUAAAUUUCAUCUAAAGCUAAAUAUUGGCGAGAGACCGAUAGCGAACAAGUACCGUGAGGGAAAGAUGAAAAGAACUUUGAAAAGAGAGUUAAACAGUACGUGAAAUUGUCAAAAGGGAAGCGUUUGACACCAGUGUUGUUUUCUCGAAAAUCAAUUAAAAAUGGCUCGAUUUUGUAUUGCUUGAGACCUUAAAAGCUCACUGUACAUUUUUCGUGUCUUUUUUAAUGCACUUUUCGUUUAACAAGUCAACAUCAGUUUCUUUUGUUGUAAAAGGGUCAUUGGAAGGUGGCUUUCUUUUCAGGAGAAAGUGUUUAUAGCCUUUGGCCUCUGCAAUCGGAGAGACUGAGGUCUGCAGCGUAGACUCUUCGGGGUUAGAUACAUUUGUGCUAAGUUAUAGCUUUUUAUAGACAACUUGUUGACUAUAAUUAGUCUUGUAGCUUACUCGCUUAUGCUAUUUUACCUACGCUUAGGAUGUUGAGUCGUAGAGCACGCAG
rnacentral:rRNA from 1 species